GGAGCCUCUCUGCCUGGCUGCCCAGUCUGGAAAGUGAGGAGCGUCUCUGCCCGGCCACCAUCCCGUCUGGGAGGCGAGGAGCGCCUCUUCCCCGCCGCCCAUCGUCUGAGAUGUGGGGAGCGCCUCUGCCCCGCCGCCCUGUCUGGGAUGUGAGGAGCGCCUCUUCCCCGCCGCCCAUCGUCUGAGAUGUGGGGAGCGCCUCUGCCCCGCCGCCCUGUCUGGGAUGUGAGGAGCGCCUCUGCUGGGCCGCAACCCUGUCUGGGAGGUGAGGAGCGUCUCUGCCCGGCCGCCCCGUCUGAGAAGUGAGGAAACCCUCUGCCUGGCAACCGCCCCGUCUGGGAAGUGAGGAGCGUCUCCGCCCGGCAGCCGCCCCGUCCGGGAGGGAGGUGGGGGGGGGGUCAGCCCUCCGCCCCGCCAGCCGCCCCGUCCGGGAGGUGAGGGGCUCCUCUGCCCGGCCGCCCCUACUGGGAAGUGAGGAGCCCCUCUGCCCGGCCAGCCGCCCCGUCCGGGAGGGAGGUGGGGGGGUCAGCCCCCCGCCCGGCCGGCCGCCCCGUCCGGGAGGUGAGGGGCGCCUCUGCCCGGCCGCCCCUACCGGGAAGUGAGGACCCCUCUGCCCGGCCAGCCGCCCCGUCCGGGAGGGAGGUGGGGGGUCAGCCCCCCGCCCGGCCAGCCGCCCAGUCCGGGAGGGAGGUGGGGGGUCAGCCCCCCGCCCGGCCAGCCGCCCCGUCCGGGAGGGAGGUGGGGGGAUCAGCCCCCCGCCUGGCCAGCCGCCCCGUCCGGGAGGUGAGGGGCGCCUCUGCCCG
rnacentral:lncRNA from 1 species